rnacentral:rRNA from 1 species
AGUGAACGCUGGCGGUAGGCCUAACACAUGCAAGUCGAACGGCAGCACAGUAAGAGCUUGCUCUUACGGGUGGCGAGUGGCGGACGGGUGAGGAAUACAUCGGAAUCUACUUUUUCGUGGGGGAUAACGUAGGGAAACUUACGCUAAUACCGCAUACGACCUACGGGUGAAAGCAGGGGACCUUCGGGCCUUGCGCGAUUGAAUGAGCCGAUGUCGGAUUAGCUAGUUGGCGGGGUAAAGGCCCACCAAGGCGACGAUCCGUAGCUGGUCUGAGGGGAUGAGCAGCCACACUGGAACUGGGACACGGUCCAGACUCCUACGGGAGGCAGCAGUGGGGAAUAUUGGACAAUGGGCGCAAGCCUGAUCCAGCCAUACCGCGUGGGUGAAGAAGGCCUUCGGGUUGUAAAGCCCUUUUGUUGGGAAAGAAAUCCAGCCGGCUAAUACCUGGUUGGGAUGACGGUACCCAAAGAAUAAGCACCGGCUAACUUCGUGCCAGCCGCCGCCGUAAAAC